rnacentral:rRNA from 1 species
GAUGAACGCUGGCGGCGUGCCUAAUACAUGCAAGUCGAACGAGGUGCUUGAGUAGCAAUACAAGAGUAUCCUAGUGGCGAACGGGUGAGUAACGCGUGGGUGACCUGCCCCGAAGUGUGGGAUAACAGUCCGAAAGGAUUGCUAAUACCUCAUGUGGUUAUCGGAUUUAGAAACUGAUAACUAAAGCAGCAAUGCGCUUUGGGAGGGACCUGCGUCCCAUCAGCUAGUUGGUGAGGUAAUGGCUCACCAAGGCUACGACGGGUAGGGGACCUGAGAGGGUGGCCCCCCACAAUGGAACUGAAACACGGUCCAUACACCUACGGGUGGCAGCAGUAGGGAAUAUUGCACAAUGGGCGAAAGCCUGAUGCAGCAACGCCGCGUGUGCGAUGAAGGCCUGGUCGUAAAGCACUUUCUGAGAGAUGAGAAAGGACAGUAUCUCAGGAAUAAGUACUCGGCUAACUACGUGCCAGCAGCCGCGGUAAAGU